AAAGGGGGAAUGUCUAAUCCUAGGCGUUUUAGAAAGUGUGCAGAUCCGUGUCCGCGUUAUUUGACACCGGAUGAUGCACACAGUCUUUGUGUUAUGUGUUUGGGCGAGGAGCACGCGCGCUCUGCUCUCGAGGGAACAGAGUGCGUUUGUUGUGAGCGGUUCUCUUUGAGGAAGCUCCGCUCUCGUUUGUCCCUUUUCUCGAGGGAAUUGGGACAAUCAUUUGCCCCCCGCGGCUCGGGUCCUGCCGCUGCCGAGGCAGCGAGGAGACUGAGAUCAUGGGGAUCGCAGAUGGAGCUCGCUGACGAGUCUGAGGGCGGGGUUAAUCUCCCGCACUCGCCGCGGGCUGACGAGGGUGAACCGCGGGAAGAAGAUGUGCUGUCUCUCACAUCUUCUGAUCCAGCAGCAAGUGCUCUUUUGGCUUCUGGCCAACGUGAGCAGGAUUUGGCUGAAGAAAGCGAAGAGGAUUUUUCUGAGCCUUUUCAGCCAGCCUGCCCCGCGUAUGUGGAGCUGCUGGAGGUUAUGGAGCGUGCUACUGCUAGGUUAGACCUGCAGUGGGUGCACGACACAGAGGAAGUCGCUCAGAGCAAGCUUGAUGAGCGGUUUCUUUCUGGACAUAAUCCUCCAGCCCCUGUGAGCCUCCCAUUCUUUUCUGAUCUUCAUAAGGAGAUCAGGAAGGCUUGGAAUAAACCAUAUUCAGCCCGUAUCCAUCAGUAUCAGCGUACUAGUUAUGCUAACAUUGAGGGUAUGCGAGAGCAUGGAUAUGCAUCGAUGCCCCCUAUCGAAGAGACGCUUGCGAGCUAUCUCUCAGAUGGGGUAACAUCUACGUUGAAGGCUCCGGCCCUGCCAUCCAGGCCACUGAAAGAAACAUCUCGCCUGAAUGGUAGGGCAUACGCGGCAGCAGGUCAGGCGGGUGCUGCCUUGCAUACAAUGGCUGUAUUACAGGCGUACCAGGCUGAUUUGCUGAAGGACCUAGACCAGGGUCAGGGGCUCUCCCCUGAGGCGGUAGCGGAGUUGCGCCACACCACAGACCUGGCUCUCAGGGCCACCAAGCAGACAGCUGCCGCGAUUGGUAGGUCAAUGGCAGCGAUGGUGGCCACAGAGAGGCACCUGUGGGUGAACCUGGCGGACAUCGGGGAGAAAGAAAAACAUUUUCUUCUUGAUACGCCGGUUUCGCCCUCUGAAUUGUUCGGCGCAUCCGUUGAGACGGUGGUUGGUAAAUUCAGAGAGGCGAAGGCGCGCUCGGCAGCGUAUAAAUCUUUCAUACCGCGCCGGUCUACGUCCGCACCCAAGCACAAGGAGGGACCUGGCCCAUCCUGGUCUGCGGGUCGGAGACAGGGCCAGGUGGCUAGUGUGGCUACUCGUGGUCCUCCUCCGAGGAGGAGUCGGUCACAGAGGAGACGUGAGUGUAGAAAUAGAAGGAAGGAGCUAAAGGGACCGUUCCGGCCUAGACAAGGCCUUGGGAAUAAGGCGUCUGGGGUUGGUACUAGUACCUAGUUAGCCUCCUUCUGUCCUCACGGUGCCCCCCCCCCAACCUCCUAGCUAACAGGGACCCUGAGGCCUGACCAAUGAUGAGAUUCCAGUCUGAAGGUCGGAAACCAGGUUUCAUUAAAAGUAGUGUUUAUGGGGGGAGAGUUGUGUGGCUUCCUCUCGUUACGAGAGUUAUUUUGCUGAAGCCUCCGCUCUCCAGAGCUCCGCUUAGACAGUUUGGUAUGCAGGCUCCCCUUUUAUGAGCCUCGCUAACUGUAUUUAGCGUUUGUGGUGUCAGGUCUCCUCUCGCUUUAGGGAGUGUUAUACUGAGACCUCGACUUUUAAGAGCUCCCCUGCCGGGGUUGAGCGGUGAUAGGAUUCCUCUCCUUAGAGAAUCAUUCUGCUGUAGCCUCCGCUCCCCAGAG
ensembl:lncRNA